CUGGUACACCUGUGCAUGUGUGUGGGCAGGCCAGAGGCUGACAUCAGGUAUCUUCUUGAUCUCUCUUCAUUUACUGAGGCAGGACAUCUCAUUGAGCCUGGAGCUGUUAUGUGGGUGCUGGGAUUCACUCUACAAGACCAUCUGAUCCACCGCUAGGCUGGAGAGAUGGCUCAGCCGUUAAAGGCUAGGCUCACAACCAAAAAUAUAAGACGGUCGGUUACAUCUACAAUUCACACUCUUGUCUCACACUUUCCUAGUGAGCAUUUUGUCCACAGAGUCAUCUCCCCAGUCCCCUUUGUUCCUUCUUAAUUUACUUUCUACUCAAAGUCCUCUAUUCCACAAAUGUCCACUGAAAUAGCUGGGCACUUCUCUGGGAUCUAAACCAGUCUACCGUCUGCCAUGACUUCCCAGCCUUUGGACUGAGGUCAAGAGCUAACAUUUGUUUCAGUGUUUCUUAGCGGCUGGCCUUGAUGACUUCCUCUCCCAUCUGUCCUUCUUCCUCCUUUGUUCCCACUCACCUCUGCUCUCUCAGAACUUGCCAUACACUCUGAUCCCAGCAGUAUCCUGACAGAACUCGGGGCAGCUUCCUUCUUGACUUUCAUAAUACCUCCUGGCAUAGGAGGACCUCCCACCCUUCUGUGCAUUGGGCACGUGAUAGGCUCUUAAUAAAGUACACCAAAUGAAUGGACAAAUGCCAAAUCUUUUAAAGGUAUUUAUAAGUCACGUGCUGGUCGAGGAUUGACCAAGAAAAGGUAAACAAUCAGAGUAGUUUAGUGUGGAUCUCAUUGUUGACUUUGAGGGUCAUGGCUGAGCACAGAGAGAAGUUGAAAGAUAAAAUACCAGAUGUAGAAAAUGCUAACUUUUAAAUGUUUAAAAAAUUUUUGAAUCUUAUCCAAGUUUUUCCCAGAGAGAAGGAAAAGAAAGUGUUGUUCUCAGAGAUGUUUAUCUUGUUUCCAGGGCAACGGAGUCAAUACUCACCAGAGAGGAGAGAAAUGGAGACAGUCAUACAGAGUGGCUCCUGAGUUCCAACUAAGUCACUGAAGACAUAAAACAAAUGAGACUUUCCUAAAAGAAGCGUAACUAUGAAAACCAAAGGAAAGGAAGUCGGUUAUCUGAGCAAAAUCACUCAUGGUGGAAGCUGAGAUGAUGGUGCACUGUUGAGGAUUUCUGUGAAUGGUCAACCCUGUUGAUGCUUACAGCAGGGAGACUUAUCGAGUUAGAACUGUGUGCAAGAACCAUCUCCCAGCCGGAUGGUGGUGGGAGGCAGAGGCAGCCAGAUCUCUGAGUUCGGGCCAGCCUGGUCUACAGAGUGAGUUCCAGAACAGUCAGGGCUACAUAGUAAAACCCUGUCUGAAAAUAAACAAACAAACAAAACAACAACAACCAGGGAACCGUCUCCCACAGCUGAUUGUGAAAGCCCCACAUGGUGUGUAAAGGAACAUGGCCACGGGCUGUCCCUAAGAGGCUGGUUCACCUCUUCUUACUGUUCUCUGGACCACAGUACUCCCAUUUCAUUCCCCUCUGGAGGAAAUUUCAGAUGUAGCACAGAGACAUUGUGCCAGGAAAUGGCACAGCUAAGGGCCAAACCAGGGCAUCUGGCUCCAGACUGUCGCCUUGGUCACACAGCCUUUAACGGUGGGAUGGACAAUAUGUAAGUAGGAGAUGGAUGAAGGUAACACUCCUGGACAGGGUGCUGUGGACUUCACUUUCCACCCCAAGCCAGGACAGGCCAGUGUACGAGGCUGGUUUGUGGAAAGCUGUAAGUGUAAUAGACAUAUGAAUGCUGGCCAAACUUAGAACAGGUAUAGACUUGAAGCUUCUACUCCCAAUGUUAAGUAGUGAAAUAAACAGCUCUGUUCUUGGCCUAACCCCAGUUUCCUGCUUUUCAGUUGGAUAAAGAUCAAGGCUCUCUUGAUUUAGGAUUACAGGAUCAAGGGACAUGACAAGGCCUGUUAAGCCAUCAGAGACUUUUCAGUGACUCUGUGAGGGACCACCUGUGGAAGGAUGCCAUGUCUAUAUCAACAGCUCUAGAGGGUUCUGUGGAGCCAGGAGCUUCUCUCAGUGAACGUCUGCUCAGUGGUUACCAAGCUUCAGAGCUGCUCUUCUGGCUCACUCUGUUGUGACAAGGCCAUUCUUCAUGUGACCUGUGCCAUUCUUCAUGUAGCUUUGGUGGAGGAGAAACAGGUUAAAAACAACCAAUAGACAGAACAGACCAUCUGAGCAGACGAGGUUUCAUCUGAGAGAGAAAGAAGACCGGGAAGUUGCCCAUGGAGAUAAGCACACAGAUUCGAUUUCCUAUCCAUUGCAACUCCAGGAGGAAGCAGUUGCCUUCACAGCUGGAGGAAUAGGAUGCUUGAAGGGAUAAAGGAACCCGGAGUGGAGUUUAACAUUUGCUGAGGGAGAUGCUUUGAGUGGUGGAUUCUAGUAUUUGCAGGAUGACUUGAUGAUCGUCUCUUCUUUCCCUGCCUUUCAGUGCCAUCUCAGUACUGCUGUCCUCACACCUUACAACAUCUCUCUCGACACUUCUCAUGUGAGCACUCUGAACUUCCAGAGUGAAUGACCUUGAAGACCUUUGAACACCCGCCAUCCCCUGCUUUAUUUUUUGUUCAGCUCUGGUUAAAGGUUUUCAUUGAUUCAAGAUGUGCCUUUUCCAUUUGCAACUCCUGAGUCCGGGAUGACUUCUGUUCUCAGCUUUCCUGUUUGCUCAAGACUCUGAAAGGCAAACUGAAAGAUGGUGAACGAUGAGCAUCCGAGUCUACCGUGUCCGGGCAAUCAGUGGAAAGAGGAUUCCCUGUAAAGCUGGGAACAGCGCGCAGAAGAGGCCACAGUGUCUCCCUCGGAGGGAGGCUGUGAAGAAAAGCUCGGCCUGCCUUAUGGUUGGGCUGCCAACCCUGUUUGUUUGCCUCUACCACGCUGUAGCCACAUCUGCUUUCCACUAACGUGUGGGGGAAGCAGUUGUCCCCUUGGACCUCUGAACAUAAUCUGUCUGUGGGGUUUACAUUGUUUCCUGGCAGACUCAGUUUUUGUGCGUUUGUUUCAGGAAGAAAGGGUUUAGUGUGUGUCUUUAUUUCUGAAAAAUUCAAUUGAACAAAAUGGUACAUGGUUUCUCUCAACCUUUUAAACCGGUCUCAGAUUUGGAUACAGUGUUUAUUUGUGCCGUUGUGAGUCAGGAUGGAUCUGAAAGGCCAGAAGACACCUGAACUUUUGACUCUACUCUGAGGCUCACACAGUCCAGUGUGCAUUGUUCUAUCUUAAAAAUGGAAAACAAGGAACUAUUCAUAUCUUGUUCUCAGAGCCUUUCCCCCUCUUGGAGACUGUGCCUCCCACCAAAUGCUUCUAAACACCCCAGGAAACCACCGCAUCAUUGUGAACAGACUAAUCGCCACACACCACUUGGUUUUCCUUCCUGGACGUCAUGGGCCAGAACCCUGUGGUUCCCACGUUGUUUCUGUCAUCGUCCCCAGGAGUGUUAGCUCUUAUCCUGAGUCCAGGCGGGACAGCCCGUCUCAACUCCAGCCCUUAUGUAAGUGGCUGUGGGGAGAACCGGUAAUAAACAAACAAAAUUUUUCUA